UCCCUGGUGGCUCAGAUGGUAAAGCAUCUGCCUGCAAUGCAGAAGACCUGGGUUCGAUCCCUGGGUCGGGAA
rnacentral:tRNA from 1 species